GUCCACGCGGGCCCUCCCCUUCCCCCCCGAAACCCCAGGACAACACCCCCCACACACACACAGAUACACAUACACACACGCACCAGUAGCAACAAGGCGCACACGGCAGUCCGCGUUUCCGCCAAACGUGUGGGGUCGGUGUCGGCAGCCUGAUCAGGACACAGGAUACAGGACGGGGAGGGGGAGGGGAUCAGAGAAAAAGGGGGAGGGGAGAACGGAGAGGAAUAGCCUCAGGUGAGAUUGUGGCGGGCCGGCCCUAAGCCCCUCCCUGCCGCCUCCUGGCUGACCACUAUAUCCUGGCCGCACACGUUUACAGGCUAUAUGGGCGGCUACAAGACGCACAAGGACCACACGCCGAUCAAGAACCACACAAACACGCACAUACAAUACCAUUCAAUACAAGGUUACUUCAUUACGUAUACUUGUAUAUACAUAUAUAUGUAUUCUUCUAUUUAUAUUAACAUAAUUUAUUAACUAGGCUAACUAAUUACUAUUAACAUAGGGCUUAACAUAUGUUAUGUUAUGUACAGGGAAGUAAAACGAUGUCGCCUUGUGCAUGGAUUGAAAAACACGAGCAAGGUUACCCAUAAAGUACAUGAUUUCGUACAGGGGUAAGGCAUCCCCCGCUCACCUGUAUGAGCGCUGAGAGACUCAGGGGCCCGACGGACUGGCUCCCGGCGCCGGCGGCGGCGGCGGCGGCAAAGGCCGAGGUAGAACUGGAGGCGCCGACGGGGCCGCCAAUGCCACCACCUCCUGGGCUCAUCGCCGCCGCCGCCGUGGCUACCGCUGGCCUCGUGCUGCUGCCGCCGCGUACCGUGCUGCUGCCGCCGCGUACCUCGCCGCUGUUCAGCGCUGCUACUGCCGCCGCAGCGGCCGUUGCCGAGUCGAACACGCUGUUCGCGGCGGCGCCAGCGGCUGCGGCUGCACCGGGAGAUGCCAGCCCAAAGCUGGCGCCGCCCACGCCCUUGACAGCGGCGGCAGUGGCGGAGGCGGCGGCGGCGG
rnacentral:lncRNA from 1 species